AGUGCCUGAGACAGGACCCCAGCAGCUCCACCAUGGACUUGGUGCCAAGCUGCCUUUUCCUCCUGAUCAUUUUUCAAGGUGUCCAGUGUGAGGUGCAGCUGGUGGAGUCUGGGGGAGGCUUGGUGCGGCCUGGGGGGACUCUGAGACUCUCCUGUGCAGCCUCUGGAUUCACCUUCAGUAGCUACCACAUGAACUGGGUCCGCCAGCCUCCAGGGAAGGGACUGGAGAGAAUUUGUGCCAUUAAUGGUAAUGGUGGUAGCACACACUACGCAGACUCUGUGAAGGGCCGAUUCACCAUCUCCAGGGACAACGCCAAGAACACACUGUAUCUGCAAAUGAACAGCCUGAGAGCCGAGGACACAGCCGUGUAUUACUGUGCUAGAGAGACACAAGACAUGUCCAAGAACCAGUUCGCCCUGCAGCUGAGCUCUGUGACCACUGAAGAAACUGCCAUGUAUUACUUGCAAGAGACACAGUGA